UAGUGACCCAGUGAGUCAGCAUUUCCCAAAUAAAUGAAGGGCCAGAAAUGGGGCAGGCUGCCAGCCACAUGGGGGAGGGUGGAGAAGGGGAUUGGUCUGUUGAGAAAGAAGAGGAUCUUGGGGUUUUAUCUCCCCUGGCCAAGAACCUCUUCCAUCGGGCCAUUUCUGAGAGUAGCGUGGCUCCCUUGGGUCCUUUGAUCAAUGAAAGGCAUCAAAGCCCUGGCACAGGCAAAGAAACUGCAGAUUCUUGUCCUUUUGGUCCAGAGCAAGGAGGAAAUGCUAUGGUUUGCACCAUCAAUAAACUACAGCUCA